UACGAAGGGGGCUAGCGUUGCUCGGAAUUACUGGGCGUAAAGGGCGCGUAGGCGGAUGUUUAAGUCGGGGGGUGAAAGCCCAGGGCUCAACCCUGGAAUUGCCUUCGAUACUGGACAUCUUGAGUGCGGGAGAGGUGAGUGGAACUCCGAGUGUAGAGGUGAAAUUCGUAGAUAUUCGGAAGAACACCAGUGGCGAAGGCGACUCACUGGCCCGUUACUGACGCUGAUGCGCGAAAGCGUGGGGAGCAAACAGG
rnacentral:rRNA from 1 species